rnacentral:rRNA from 1 species
UACAUGUGGGGCAAGCGUUGUUCGGAAUCAUUGGGCGUAAAGGGUGCGCAGGCGGCCUGGCGCGUCGCGAGUGAAAUCUCCUGGCUCAACUGGGAGGGUGGUCGCGAGACGGCUGGGCUUGAGGCUCGGUGAGGGGCGUGGAAUUCCGGGUGGAGCGGUGAAAUGCGUAGAGAUCCGGAGGAACACCGACGGCGUAGGCAGCGCCCUAGACGAGACCUGACGCUCAGGCACGAAAGCGCGGGGAGCGAACAGG